UACGUAGGGGGGCAAGCGUUGUCCGGAUUUAUUGGGCGUAAAGAGCGUGUAGGCGCCAGGUAGGUCUGCUGUGAAAACUCGAGGCUUAACCUCGAGAUGUCGGCGGAAACCAUCUGGCUAGAGUCCGGAAGAGGAGAGUGGAAUUCCUGGUGUAGCGGUGAAAUGCGCAGAUAUCAGGAAGAACACCAAUGGCGAAGGCAGCUCUCUGGGACGGUACUGACGCUGAGACGCGAAAGCGUGGGGAGCGAACAGG
rnacentral:rRNA from 1 species